rnacentral:lncRNA from 1 species
GUCUCCCUCUCUAAACCCUGACCCUUGUUAAGCUACAUGUUACUGAUUUCUGGCAAGUUUCUUAAUCCACAGUGUCCUUGGGACAGUGGCCCUUCCCUAGUAAAAGGAAUGAAAUGUUGGGUGUAUCACCAGGAGAUUAGUGUGCCAACUAGACCUCAAAACAACAGCCACAGCCUGCCCUCUCUGGGAACAGAUGAGCUUUCCUAAGGCAAUGAUCAAAGGCACAAUGUAUAGGCUGGAGUUCUGACCUCAGUUUGAAGCGGGGAGGUGUGGCAGACAACUAUUUCUCUAGGCAUCUCCAUUCUUUGCCACUGGGAAGAACCGAGAUUCCUAACUCCUUAUUCAUCAUUAUGGAAAGUUUUGCUUUUGUUGCAGCUUGCUUCAUUCAUUGUGUUCUUUGAUGCUUUAAUUUUUUUCCCUAUUUCAAAUAAAUCCCCUUUGAUUUCAUAAUCAUUUGCCUUUG